rnacentral:rRNA from 1 species
AGAGUUUGAUCCUGGCUCAGGACGAACGCUGGCGGCGCGCCUAACACAUGCAAGUCGAACGGAGCUAUGUUGAAAGCUUGCUGGAUAUAUAGCUUAGUGGCGGACGGGUGAGUAACACGUGAGCAACCUGCCUUUCAGAGUGGAAUAACGUUUGGAAACGAACGCUAAUACCGCAUAAUGUCAGAGGAUGGCAUCAUUCUUUGACCAAAGAUUUAUCGCUGAAAGAUGGGCUCGCGGCCGAUUAGGUAGUUGGUGAGAUAAUAGCCCACCAAGCCGACGAUCGGUAGUCGGACUGAGAGGUUGAACGGCCACAUUGGGACUGAGACACGGCCCAGACUCCUACGGGAGGCAGCAGUGGGGAAUAUUGCACAAUGGGGGAAACCCUGAUGCAGCGACGCCGCGUGGAGGAAGAAGGUCUUCGGAUUGUAAACUCCUGUUGUUGAGGAAGAUAAUGACGGUACUCAACAAGGAAGUGACGGCUAACUACGUGCCAGCAGCCGCGGUAAAACGUAGGUCACAAGCGUUGUCCGGAAUUACUGGGUGUAAAGGGAGCGCAGGCGGGAAGACAAGUUGGAAGUGAAAUCUAUGGGCUCAACCCAUAAACUGCUUUCAAAACUGUUUUUCUUGAGUAGUGCAGAGGUAGGCGGAAUUCCCGGUGUAGCGGUGGAAUGCGUAGAUAUCGGGAGGAACACCAGUGGCGAAGGCGGCCUACUGGGCACCAACUGACGCUGAGGCUCGAAAGCGUGGGUAGCAAACAGGAUUAGAUACCCUGGUAGUCCACGCCGUAAACGAUGAUUACUAGGU